rnacentral:tRNA from 1 species
AGAAUUAUAGUUAAUAAUAUAACAUUUAAAUUGCAUUUAAAAAUUAUUUAAAUAAAAUUAAUUUUU